UACAGAGACUGCAAGCGUUAUUCGGAUUCACUGGGCGUAAAGGGUGCGCAGGCGGCCAUGUGUGUGAGGCGUGAAAGCCCGGAGCUCAACUCCGGAAUUGCACCUCAAACUACAUGGCUAGAGCAUUGGAGAGGGAAGCGGAAUUCACGGUGUAGCAGUGAAAUGCGUAGAUAUCUGGAGGAACACCGGUGGCGAAGGCGGCAUCCUGGACCGGCAUUGACGCUGAGGCGCGAAAGCCAGGGGAGCAGACGGG
rnacentral:rRNA from 1 species